UUCCUACGGGGGGCAGCAGUGGGGAAUCUUGCGCAAUGGGCGAAAGCCUGACGCAGCAACGCCGCGUGCGGGAAGAAGGCUCUCGGGUUGUAAACCGCUUUCAGCAGGAACGAAAAUGACGGUACCUGCAGAAGAAGGUGCGGCCAACUACGUGCCAGCAGCCGCGGUGACACGUAGGCACCAAGCGUUGUCCGGAUUUAUUGGGCGUAAAGAGCUCGUAGGCGGUUCGGUAAGUCGGGUGUGAAAACUUUGGGCUUAACCCAAAGCGUGCAUCCGAUACUGCUGUGACUAGAGUUCGGUAGGGGAGUGGGGAAUUCCUAGUGUAGCGGUGAAAUGCGCAGAUAUUAGGAGGAACACCGGUGGCGAAGGCGCCACUCUGGGCCGAAACUGACGCUGAGGAGCGAAAGCGUGGGUAGCAAACAGGAUUAGAUACCCGAGUAGUC
rnacentral:rRNA from 1 species